GCCUGCAUUCAAAAGUGGUUGCAGGCUGCCUGUGCCCCAUCACUCAUGCUGCAGGGAGAGGAUGCCAAAAGCCUUUCCCCAUGUUUUGAAGGUCCACCCUGUACUGGCCAGCUCCUGGUGCUUUCUAACA